rnacentral:tRNA from 1 species
UUCCGCUGCCGGGGCUUGAUCCCGGGUCUCCUGGGUGAAAACCAGGCAUCCUAACCACUGAGUCACUUGCA